rnacentral:lncRNA from 1 species
UUAGCUAGCCGCUGGAUUUAACUUUUAGAUUAAAAAAAAAAACAAAAGCCCAUUACAAAUGUAAGUUUUGCCAAAUGGUAUUUACGCUAAGUAACCUUUCAAUGCUACAAUUUAUCAAACGGUAUAACAUUUCAUUCGAUAAACACUUUUACCUCAAAAGUAUUUGCAUUCUCCCAAUGGCAUUUCCCCAAACUCGAAUCAAAUGGGCCAUAAAUUGAUUUUAAAUCUAAUUCUCUAACAUAUGAUGCGAUCAUGCAUGUGCGCAAACCACCAAUUUAACACCUAAGUAAAGUAGUAAAUAAAUUGUAGGAUUUAUCUCAUAACAACGAAAGUAUUUGCAAUGUUAAAUUAGAAUCUACAUCAACAACCCUAGAUAUAAUUUCUAAUUAAUACGCAACUUUUUUUGUUUUCACUUAAUUAAUGAAAAUCAUACAAUAUGGUGACGUCUUAAGUGGGUUGCCGGGGGUGAUGGGUCCUCCCGCUUACGCAGCCCCCCAGGUUUACCCCUCCGGCUGCCGGCCGUGCAGGGGUUCCUUGGUAAAAAAAAAAAAUGAAAAUCAUACAAUAUGCAUUGUCAUAUUAACUAAAUGACCUAAUUCUAAUGACAUGCAAUUUCUAAUUGAACGCACCUACCAACAAUCACUAAAUGACAUGCAUUUCAUGAAUCUAAUCCUAAUGACAUGCACAUGACAUUUUUCUUUUUUCUAAAAAAUGCAAUAUAUCCUAAUAUGCAAUGACGUGUAAAGAAUACCAUAAUUCUAUUUUUUUUCUUUUUCUUUUAUGAAAUUCGAAAUUAAUAAUUGUGAAACAUUUAAACAUGCAAUCCAAGUUAAAAAAACUAGCAACCUAAAUUGAUUGAUUUUAUUUUAUUUUUUUUACAUUCGAAAUAAAAUUCCUAUUCUAAAUAUGCAAACCCUAAAACAAGAAAUAAACCUAAUUUUAAUCUACAUUUUUUUUGACUUUUUCAAGAAAAUUAACUUAAGCGACACGACGGCAAAUCAAGCAAUAUUGAUAUCCAAAUUGACGAACCAUAUCUCGUGCAUGAGAUUAGAUUGGUCAAUUUUACAUAAAUCGCGAAUCGAAUAUCAAGCGGAAGAUCAGAUUUAGCGAUUUUUUCAAGUAAUUGCGAGUAAAAUUUCGGGCACGAAAAUCGGACUGACAAUUGCAAAAUUCACAGGCGAUUUCAUAUAAGGCAAUCUCAAUUUUACAUUAAGGGAUAUUACACUAAAAGAACAAAUAAAAUAAAAUAACAAAAAUAAUAAAAAUGGAAUAAGAUGAGUAAAUAAAUAAAUAAAAUUACCUAAAUUGUUUCUUUUUUGUUUUGCUUUUCGGCAGCUGGCCGGUUCGGAGCUCCGGCAAGGAGAGUCGCCGGCGAAGGUCUCCGGCGAGGCAGGGCAGUGCGCGGCGAGGAGGUCCGGCGGUGAGGCAGCGCACGGCGGUGGCUGGUGAAGCUGCGAGGAGCGCUGCAGGCGUCGGUGAGUUUCGGCUACGGGGCUGGGCACGAGCACGGCGUCCGGAUCUCGGCUCGGCAGCAGCGGCGAAUUCGCGGGCGGAGCAGAGGCGGCGAGUCGGGUCUGCUGGGCGUCGGAACAGAUCUGCUGGGCGUCGGGGCAGAGGAGGGUCGCGGCGGCGUUCCGGAUCUGGGCCUGCUGUCGUCGGUGCAGAGGAGGGUCACGGCGGCGUUUCGGAUCUCGGGCGGAAGGCACGGCGAAGGGCUUCAAGGGCUGCAAGGCCGACGGCGGAGGCGGCGUCGGGGCGGUGCGAGCCUCGGGCGUCGGGUCGCGGGUCGCUGGCAGGGCGGCGGAGAACGGCAAGGCGGGGCGCGGCGGUCGCUGGCGGAGGCGGCUUUAGCACAGCGGCCGACGCGGGGGGUCGGGCUGCCGCGGUCGGAGCCCUCCGCGAAGAAGACGAUGGGGCUCCCCUUUUUUUAUUUUCUUUUCUCUCUCUCUCUCUCUCUGACUUUUUUUUUU